AUUAUCAGCUUUAGCUAUAUUUACACAUGCAAGUAUCCGCACCCCCGUGAAAAUGCCCUACAGUUCCCUGAUUGGGAACAAGGAGCUGGUAUCAGGCACACCCCGAAGUAGCCCACGACGCCUUGCUCAGCCACACCCCCAAGGGAAUUCAGCAGUGAUAGACAUUAAGCCAUGAGUGAAAACUUGACUUAGUUAAGGCUAAGAGGGCCGGUAAAACUCGUGCCAGCCACCGCGGUUAUACGAGAGACCCAAGUUGAUAAGUUUCGGCGUAAAGAGUGGUUAGGGGAAACCCCGUCAAACUAAAGCCAAAUGCCCCCAAGGCUGUUAUACGCACCCGGAGGCCAGAAACCCAACAACGAAAGUGGCUUUAUUACUACCUGACCCCACGAAAGCUAUGAUACAAACUGGGAUUAGAUACCCCACUAUGCUUAGCCCUAAACAUUGAUAAUGUCCUACAAUCAUUAUCCGCCCGGGAACUACGAGCACCAGCUUAAAACCCAAAGGACUUGGCGGUGCUUUAGAUCCACCUAGAGGAGCCUGUUCUAGAACCGAUAAUCCCCGUUAAACCUCACCCCUCCUUGUUUUUCCCGCCUAUAUACCGCCGUCGUCAGCUUACCCUGUGAGGGAUCAAUAGUAAGCACAAUUGGUAAAGCCCAAUACGCCAGGUCGAGGUGUAGCGUAUGGAGGGGGAAGAAAUGGGCUACAUUCAGUAUGUUACUGAAUACGGAUGGCGGGCUGAAACGCCCGCCUGAAGGAGGAUUUAGUAGUAAGUGGAAAAUAGAGCGUUCCCCUGAAACCGGCCCUGAAGCGCGUACACACCGCCCGUCACUCUCCCCGAAAAACAGAACUAACAAUACCUAAAACUUUAUGGCAAAAAAGGGGAGGC
rnacentral:ncRNA from 1 species